rnacentral:rRNA from 1 species
CAAUAGCGUAUACUAAAGUUGUUGCAGUUAAAAGCUCGUAGUUGAAUUUCUGGUUGUGAAAGAUGGUCCGUUCCUCAAGGAAUGUGUACUAAUCAUUCAUGGCCAUCCUCGGGAGGAAUGAUGUGUUAUCUUUCAGUAGUCGUGCACAGGAACCCCCAUUCAUACUGUGAGCAAAAUAGAGUGUUCAAAGCAGGCUUAUGCCGUUGAAUAUAUUAGCAUGGAAUAAUAAGAUAUGACUUUGGUCUAUUUGUUGGUUGCUUCCAAAGUAAUGAUUAAUAGGGAUAGUUGGGGGUAUUCGUAUUCAAUUGUCAGAGGUGAAAUUCUUGGAUUUAUGGAAGACGAACUACUGCGAAAGCAUUUACCAAGGAUGUUUUUCAUUAAUCAAGAACGAAAGUUAGGG